rnacentral:rRNA from 1 species
CCCCUAGUAACUGCGAGUGAAGCGGGAUGAGCUCAAAUUUAAAAUCUGACGGUUUCGCCGUCCGAGUUGUAAUCUGGAGAAGCGUUUUCCGCGUCGGACCGUGUACAAGUCCCUUGGAACGGGGCGUCAUAGAGGGUGAGAAUCCCGUCCAUGACACGGGCUACCUAUGCUUUGUGAUACGCUCUCGAAGAGUCGAGUUGUUUGGGAAUGCAGCUCAAAAUGGGUGGUAAAUUCCAUCUAAAGCUAAAUAUUGGCGAGAGACCGAUAGCGAACAAGUACCGUGAGGGAAAGAUGAAAAGCACUUUGGAAAGAGAGUUAAACAGUACGUGAAAUUGUUGAAAGGGAAACGCUUGGAGUCAGUCGCGUCUGUCGAGACUCAGCCUCGCCUUUGGGCUUGGUGUACUUCUCGGUCGACGGGCCAACAUCGAUUUUGGGUGGCGGAUAAAGGUCUGGGGAAGGUGGCACCUUCGGGUGUGUUAUAGCCCCUCUCCGCAUACGUCGUUCGGGAUCGAGGACCGCAGCGCGCCCUUGUGGCCGGGGCUUUGCCCACGUACCGCGCUUAGGAUGUUGGCGUAAUGGCUUUAAGCGACCCGUCUUGAAACACGGACCAAGGAGUCUAACAUGCCCGCGAGUGUUAGGGUGUAAAACCCUUGCGCGUAAUGAAAGUGAAAGUUGGGACCUCUGUCGUGGAGGGCACCGACGCCCGGCACUGAACUAUUGUGACGUUGCUGCGGUAGAGCGUGCAUGUUGGGACCCGAAAGAUGGUGAACUAUGCCUGAAUAGGGCGAAGCCAGAGGAAACUCUGGUGGAGGCUCGUAGCGAUUCUGACGUGCAAAUCGAUCGUCAAAUUUGGG